rnacentral:rRNA from 1 species
UACGAAGGGUGCAAACGUUGCUCGGAAUUAUUGGGCGUAAAGCGCACGUAGGCGGCUCCGCAAGUCCCAUGUGAAAGCCCACGGCUUAACCGUGGAAGUGCAUGGGAAACUGCAGAGCUUGAGUACUAAAGAGGAUCGCGGAAUUCCCGGUGUAGAGGUGAAAUUCGUAGAUAUCAGGAGGAACACCGAUGGCGAAGGCAGGUCUCUGGGCCAUUACUGACACUGAGAAGCGAAAGCAUGGGGAGCGAACAGG